rnacentral:rRNA from 1 species
AGUUUGAUCCUGGCUCAGAUUGAACGCUGGCGGGAUGCUUUACACAUGCAAGUCGAACGGCAGCACGGACUUCGGUCUGGUGGCGAGUGGCGGACGGGUGAGUAAUGUAUCGAACGUGCCUAGUAGCGGGGAUAACUACGCGAAAGCGUAGCUAAUACCGCAUACGCUACCCUUCGGGGGAAAGUGUAGAUCUUUCGGGCCUCGCAAUUAUUAGAGCGGCCGAUAUCGGAUUAGCUAGUUGGUGGGGUAACGGCUCACCAAGGCGACGAUCCGUAGCUGGUUUGAGAGGACGACCAGCCACACUGGGACUGAGACACGGCCCAGACUACGGGAAAGGUGCAGUGGGGAAUUUUGGACAAUGGGGGAAACCCGAUCCAGCCAUCCCGCGUGUGCGAUGAAGGCCUUCGGGUUGUAAAGCACUUUUGGCAGGAGAAACGGGGUACGGGAUAAUACCCCGUGCAACGACGGUACCUGCAGAAGGGCACCGGCUAACUACGUGCCAGCAGCCGCGGUGAAUGCUAGUAUGACCGGAAUUACUGGGCGCAAAAGCGUGCGCAGGCGGUUCGGAAAGAAAGAUGUGAAAUCCCAGAGCUUAACUUUUGGAACUGCAUUUUUAACUACCGAGCUAGAGUGUGUCAGAGGGAGGUGGAAUUCCGCGUAGGUGCGAAAUGCGUAGAUAUGCGAGGAACACCGAUGGCGAAGGCAGCCUCCUGGGAUAACACUGACGCUCAUGCACGAAAGCGUGGGGAGCAAACAGGAUUAGAUACCCUGGUAGUUCACGCCCUAAAAAUGAUGUCAACUAGCUGUUGGGGCCUUUCGCCUUGGUAGCGCAGCUAACGCGGGUGAAGCUGACCGCCUUGGGGAGUAAUGGUCAAAGAUUAAACUCAAAGACCUGAUUUGGGACCCGCACAAGCGGUGGAUGAUGUGGAUUAAUUCGAUGCAACGCGAAAAACCUUACCUACCCUUGACAUGUCUGGAAUCCCGAAGAUUUGGGAGUGCUGCAAGAGAACCGAAACACAGGUGCUGCAUGGCUGUCGUCGUCGUCGUGAGAUGUUGGGUUAAGUCCCGCAACGAGCUAGCAACCCUUGUCAUUAGUUGUUACGAAAGGGCACCCCUAUCGAGACUGCCGGUGACAAAACCGGAGGAAGGUGGGGAUGACGUCGUCCUCAUGCCCUUACGUAGCAGGGCUUCACACGUCAUACAAUGGUCGGGACAGAGGCCGCCAACCGCGGUGGAGCCAAUCCCAGAAACCCGAUCGUAGUCCGGAUCGCAGUCUGCAGCUCGGACUGCGUGAAGUCGGAAUCGCUAGUAAUCGCGGAUCAGCAUGUCGUGCACAUGUUCCGGGCGCCUGUACACACUGCCCGUCACACCAUGGGAGUGGGUUUUACCAGAAGGGAAGGUGCUCGAACUGUAAGGAGGGCGAUUACCACGGUAGGAUUCAUGACUGGGGUGAAGUCGUAACAAGGUAG